CCGGCACGGGUGAGUAACACGUAUCCAACCUGCCGUCUACUCUUGGACAGCCUUCUGAAAGGAAGAUUAAUACAAGAUGGCAUCAUGAGUCCGCAUGUUCACAUGAUUAAAGGUAUUCCGGUAGACGAUGGGGAUGCGUUCCAUUAGAUAGUGGCGGGGUAACGGCCCACCUAGUCUUCGAUGGAUAGGGGUUCUGAGAGGAAGGUCCCCCACAUUGGGACUGAGACACGGCCCAA
rnacentral:rRNA from 1 species